rnacentral:tRNA from 1 species
AUUAGAGUAGCAAAAAUAAUGCAUAAGAUUUAAGCUCUUAAGAUGAGAAUAUAAUAUCUCCUCCAAUA